GUUUCCAUAGUGUAGUGGUUAUCACGUCUGCCUAACAUGCAGAAGGUCCCCGUUUCGAAAACGGGUGGAAACA
rnacentral:tRNA from 1 species